rnacentral:lncRNA from 1 species
UCAAGAAGAGAUAUAUGCUAGCAAACCACAUCUAGUUUUCCGUAAUUUUUCAAAUGAGUUACUAUUUUGGUGCUACAAAUUAAAAAUUAAAUCAAAUACUUAACUUAAUAUUUAAGUUAAAACUAUUGACACAAUAAUGUAAAGACCAAUGAAACAGUGAUAACAUAACCAAGGCCAUUAAAUCCCAUUUGCAUGUAAAAGUUAUCUGCAUGUAAAACUUAAUUAAGGGCUUAUAACAUAACCAUUUAACAUGAAAUACGUAUAUCCGACACGAACCAUUUA